rnacentral:rRNA from 1 species
UGGGGAAUAUUGCGCAAUGGGGGAAACCCUGACGCAGCAACGCCGCGUGAAGGAUGAAGGUUUUCGGAUUGUAAACUUCUUUGAUGAGGGACGAACACAAUGACGGUACCUGACUAAGAAGCCCCGGCUAACUACGUGCCAGCAGCCGCGGUAAUACGUAGGGGGCAAGCGUUAUCCGGAUUUACUGGGUGUAAAGGGAGCGUAGGUGGUUCGGUAAGUCAGAUGUGAAAGCCCGGGGCUCAACCCCGGGACUGCAUUUGAAACUAUCGUACUAGAGUGCAGGAGAGGUAAGUGGAAUUCCUAGUGUAGCGGUGAAAUGCGUAGAUAUUAGGAGGAACACCAGUGGCGAAGGCGGCUUACUGGACUGUAACUGACACUGAGGCUCGAAAGCGUGGGGAGCAAACAGG